UACGGGGGGGGCAAGCGUUGUUCGGAAUUACUGGGCGUAAAGGGCUCGUAGGCGGCCAACUAAGUCAGACGUGAAAUCCCUCGGCUUAACCGGGGAACUGCGUCUGAUACUGGAUGGCUUGAGUUUGGGAGAGGGAUGCGGAAUUUCCGGUGUAGCGGUGAAAUGCGUAGAUAUCGGAAGGAACACCAGUGGCGAAAGCGGCUUCCUGGUCCAGCACCGACGUUCAGGCACGAAAGCGUGGGGAGCAAACAGG
rnacentral:rRNA from 1 species